rnacentral:lncRNA from 1 species
CAGUUUUCAGAAAGUACUGAGGCCUGAGCCCUAACCCAGACUAAUUAAAUCAAAACCUCAGAGGGUGACAGCGAGGAAUCAAUAUUUUUUAAAAGCUUUCCAAUUGGUUCUUAGAAGAAGCUGAGGUUGAGAACCAUUGACCUAAAGAGUCAACGAAAAGAUGAAAGAAUGUCUAGGAACUAAGCCCUGAAGACUCUAAGUUUUGUAAUCAGGAAGAUGAGGAGGAGCCAGUGAAGGAGACAGUGAGUGAGGUUCAGAAUUUCCCAAAACUGGUGCAGUUUAUCAUGGUACAUGGAAGGAAGUCCACAGCGUUAUCAGGCAGCAUGAGAAGUUUCAAGAGACGAAGAUGACUGGGUUAAGUGGGUGGCAGUGAUGAUGAUGCGAAGUGGAUGCAUGAGAGAAAUUUCCAGGACAUAAAAUGGGCAACACCUGGCGAUUGAUUAGAAAUGAAAGGUGCAGCGGAGAUCCCAGAGAGAAGGCAGAGGCCUCUGGAGGCUUGGACUUGGAGCUGGCAAACUGUGUGUUCUACCACAUUCUAUUUGCCAGAGCAAACCAGUCAUUGACAGCUAUUGGCCAUGCAAUGGAAAUGGCUACAGGGGAGAGGAGGUAUGAAGGAUUGAGGACAUUUUUGCAAUCAAUUUACCACAUAUAUCAACUUAUUCAAGUCAAUACCCGUAUGGAGUAGAAAAGAUGUCAGCACAUAAACCCAAUCUCCUCUCAUGCUCAGCUGGGUCACCCUGCGACAAACUUAUGACAGAUUGACUGUUAAUCACAAGAGUUAUUUGUAUUUUUUCUAAUGACUGAAAAAUGGAGUUUUUAGCUCCUUGAAUGCAGGGUCCCUGUCUAACCUUCACUGUCAUUUCAGAGAACCCCAUUUUGCAGCGGCACUCUUAAGAAGUUGUAUGCUGAUCACAUUGUUGUAAAUUGAUCCUAUUUCCCCAGAGCCCUGUUAUUUUUGUUCUUGUCAUUUCUGAUUGAUCUUGGCAGGAUCUGUGAGUCUCUGCUAUCCUUUAACCCUUAGCUCCUGGAUUUCCCUGAUCCUGAACUCUCUGACAAGCUGUUUAUAAACAAACACAUUCAGUUAUUGGAGGCAUUUAUUUAUAAGGCAACUCGAUAACAAAUCCUUGCUUAAGUCAUUUGCCCCCUUUGGAAAAUAGAGUUUUUUUCUUUUUUUUAAUUCAGGGAUCACUGGAUACACUCAUUGGUAGAUUCAGAAAUCAGAAUAACAACCUGAGCAGUGUUUCCACUGAGGUUUCACCAAGAAUCAAAAAUGCCAUCCUUACACCAAUGAACUACUGCUCGGUGAUUAAGUGACUGAUUGAACAGUCCCUCAAGUGAAUAUGAAGAGUCCACCCUCCAAGUAGACUGACGAGGCAGUCUCCUUACGAGCUGUAAUUCUAGGGCUGUGGAAAACACGUCCAUCCAUCUGCUCAGUGAUAGCUGAAACUGACGGCACACAAAGGCUUUUAUUACAUAAUUAAAAUUAAGGCUUAAACUGCAAAUAGCCCUGUUG